UAAUUAUUUAUUAAAUUUAAUAUAACAUUAAAUAUAAUUAUUGCCAUUAUUUAUGUUUUUUAGGCCUGGAGCUGCAAAGGUGUCCUUGGUUCUUGGGCUAGAAAAGGAUUGUUUUCUCUAACUACCCUGCAAAGAGAACUUGCUAACACUUUAUAUGAAGUUCAGAGUUAUAUAUUAAUGCAGUACAGAAUCUGGAAAAUAUGAAAGAUAAAACUUAAGACAUCAACAGUCUUCAGUAUCAAGUCCAAACCUGUCCCAAAGUCCCAUUGACUGCAGGAGAACGUGGAUGGAGGACACAGGACAGGAUUCUGCGAAGUAGUUUUGCAGGGCACACGACUACCUUGGACUUCACAACAGCUGAGACUUGUCAUUUAAAAACAUGGUACUGGUAUUAGAAAAAAAACCCCAAAACUCUACUGAUAUGUAAUUAUUAACCCAUAUAUUGAGAUUUUUUUUAGAGAAUUGCUUCACAUUAAAUACUCAGAUCCUUUCAUUUCUAUUAUUCAUGUGCCAAGCUAAAAAUAAACAUUUGAAAUAUUUUUCUCUUUUAUGGAAGAGAUGGUGAAACUAUUCAUUUGAAAUGAACUCUUGGAUGAAUGCAGCUAUAUUUUCUGGGCUCAGAUCUCUUCUUCUCAAAUGGGAACCUCACAUCAUGUGAGGGAAUUUUGCUUCAUUUUUACUUCAAAACAUUGAUCAAGUAAAGCUUAGUCAAACAGUUUCUAGUUAUUCACAAUAUGUUCAUUUGGGCUUUUAAUUUCAUUACUCUUGAUGUGUUACUAUCACAUUUACUCUAUUUCCCAAAAGUUUGCUUGAAAUUAUUUAGGAGACUAAAUGAAUAAUAAAAGUGCCCAACAAAUA